rnacentral:rRNA from 1 species
AGCAGAUGCUGGCCUGAGACGGUGACAUGUACACUGGACCUGAACCCCCGCCCACACUCCUACGGGACGCAGCAGUGGGGAAUCUUGCACAAUGGACCAAAGUCUGAUGCAGCAACGCCGCGUGAGGGACGAAGGCCUUCGGGUUGUAAACCUCUUUUAGCAGGGAAGAAGCGAAAGUGACGGUACCUGCAGAAAAAGCACCGGCUAACUACGUGCCAGCAGCCGCGGUAAUACGUACGGUGCAAGCGUUGUCCGGAAUUAUUGGGCGUAAAGAGCUCGUAGGCGGUUUGUCGCGUCUGCUGUGAAAUUUCUAGGCUCAACCUCGAACUUGCAUUGGGUACGGGCAGGCUAGAGUGCAGUAAGGGAGACUGGAAUUCCUA